rnacentral:rRNA from 1 species
UUCGAUUCUGGCUCAGAUUGAACGCUGGCGGGAUGCUUUACACAUGCAAGUCGAACGGCAGCACGGACUUCGGUCUGGUGGCGAGUGGCGAACGGGUGAGUAAUGUAUCGGAACGUGCCCUGAAAAAUGGCGGGGGAUAACUACGCGAAAGCGACCUUCUUCCUACGCCCUUCGGGGGAAAGCGGGGGACCUUCGGGCCUCGCACUAUUAGAGCGGCCGAUAUCGGAUUAGCUAGUUGGUGGGGUAACGGCUCACCAAGGCGACGAUCCGUAGCUGGUUUGAAGGACGACCAACACACUGGGACUGAGACACGGCCCAGACUCCUACGGGAGGCAGCAGUGGGGAAUUUUGGACAAUGGGGAAACCUGAUCCAGCCAUCCGCGUGUGCGAUGAAGGCCUUCGGGUUGUAAAGCACUUUUGGCAGGAAAGAAACGGCACGGGAUAAUACCCCGUGCAACUGACGGUACCUGCAGAAUAAGCACCGGCUAACUACGUUAACAGCCGCGGUAAUACGUAGGAGUGCAAGCGUUAAUCGGAAUUACUGGGCGUAAAGCGUGCGCAGGCGGUUCGGAAAGAAGAUGUGAAAUCCCAGAGCUUACUUUGGAACUGCAUUUUUAACUACCGAGCUAGAGUGUGUCAGAGGAGGUGGAAUUCCGCGUGUAGCAGUGAAGUAAAUAUGCGGAGGAACACCGAUAGCGAAGGCAGCCUCCUGGGAUAACACUGACGCUCAUGCACGAAAAGCGUGGGGAGCAAAACAGGGUUAGAUACCCUGGUAGUCCACGCCCUAAACGAUGUCAACUAGCUGUUGGGGCCUUCGGGCCUUGGUAGCGCAACUAACGCGUGAAGUUGACCGCCUGGGGAGUACGGUCGCAAGAUUAAAACUCCAAAGGAAUUGACGGGGACCCGCACAAGCGGUGGAUGAUGUGGAUUAAUUCGAUGCAACGCGAAAAACCUUACCUACCCUUGACAUGUCUGGAAUCCCGAAGAGAUUUGGGAGUGCUCGCAAGAGAACCGGAACACGGGUGCUGCAUGGCUGUCGUCAGCUCGUGUCGUGAGAUGUUGGGUUAAGUCACACAACGAGCGCAACCCCUUGUCAUUGGUGCUACGAAAAGGGCACUCUAAUGAGACUGCCGGUGACAAACCGGAGGAAGGUGGGGAUGACGUCAAGUCCUCAUGGCCCUUAUGGGUAGGGCUUCACACGUCAUACAAUGGUCGGGACAGAGGGUCGCCAACCCGCGAGGGGGAGCCAAUCCCAGAAACCCGAUCGUAGGUCCGGAUCGCAGUCUGCAACUCGACUGCGUGAAGUCGGAAUCGCUAGUAAUCGCGGAUCAGCAUGUCGCAGUGAAUACGUUCCCGGGGUCUUGUACACACCGCCCGUCACACCAUGGGAGUGGGUUUUGCAGAAGUAGUUAGCUAACCGUAAGGAGGGCGAUUACCACGGUAGGAUUCAUGACUGGGGUGAAGUCGUAACAAGGUAG